CUAUUUUAUCAGCAAUCAAAGACGAGCUUCAAAGUUAUCGUGAAACUGCCUAUUCUAGAGGUGGCGUGAAUCAGAUGUGGAUACUUAAAAUUCCAAAGAUCUUUUAGAGUACUUACAAUUUAACUCUUUCAUCUUGUAAUAGUAUUAAAACAUUUGACUUUUCUACACUUUACACAAGUAUUCCACAUUCCAAACUAAAAGAC
rnacentral:lncRNA from 1 species